CAGUAGCCACGGGAAAACGGAGGGAGCUAGCGUUGUUCGGAAUUACUGGGCGUAAAGCGCGCGUAGGCGGUUACUCAAGUCAGAGGUGAAAGCCCGGGGCUCAACCCCGGAACUGCCUUUGAAACUAGGUGACUAGAAUCUUGGAGAGGUCAGUGGAAUUCCGAGUGUAGAGGUGAAAUUCGUAGAUAUUCGGAAGAACACCAGUGGCGAAGGCGACUGACUGGACAAGUAUUGACGCUGAGGUGCGAAAGCGUGGGGAGCAAACAGGAUUAGAUACCCGCGUAGUCCCUGUCUCUUAUAC
rnacentral:rRNA from 1 species